rnacentral:pre_miRNA from 1 species
CACAUACUCCCUCCGUCCGAAAAUACUUGUCAUCAAAAUGGACAAAAAAGGAUGUAUCUAAAACUAAAAUACAUCUAAAUACAUCCCCUUUUAUUCAUUUUGAUAACAAGUAUUUCCGGACGGAGGGAGUACAUG